GUCUGGUUGGCUUAGUAGGGAGAGCAUGAGACUCUCAAUCUUGAGGUUGUGAGUUCAAGUCCCAUGUUGAGCA
rnacentral:tRNA from 1 species